GCAAAUACGACAAUCUGCCUGUGGCCAUAAAACACAUUCCCCAGCCUGGCAUUCAGUGCACAUCAAUGCUGCUGGGUGGGAAAACUCGCAAGGUCCCUCUGGAGGUGGCACUGCUGCUGAAACUCAAACCAGUAGCUGCAGUGGUGACCC